rnacentral:lncRNA from 1 species
AUGUUCAUUUUAUACAACAAAAUUGUAUCAUUAAGGAAAGCACAUAAUGAUAGUAAACACCAAACAAAUGAAGAAGCAGAUGUUUUAUAUGUUGAUCGCGAAAAUAACAUAAAUGAAAAUAAACCUGAAAAAGAAUAUGACAAAGUAAAUGAUGAUAUAUUUUUAUUAUUUUCAGAAAAUGGACAUAUGGGAGAAAAUAAUAAGUUAAAUAAAAAAGAAAAAUUCAAUAGAACAUAUUUAGAUAAAAAGAAACUGACUUUAGAAUGUAAUAAAGUAUCUAAUUGGGUUCAACAAAAUGACCUAUGGACAGACAUUGACACAAAUUGGAAACAGUUUGGUGAUGAUGUUGUUGGAGAUACACCAAUUAUGCAGUAUAAUUUGGAUGUCGUUAAGGAAAAUAAAGAGAAUAAAAAAAGUGGUAUAAAUGUAAAAAUGAAUGACAAAAUUAAUGAAAAAAGUAAUGAAAAAAGUGAUAAAUAUAUAGUUGAAAAAAGUGAUAAAUAUAUAGNNNNNNNNNNUGAAAAAAGUGAUAAAUAUAUAGUUGAAAAAAGUGAUAAAUAUAUAGAUGACCUGAAGAGUGAUUUAACGGCUUCAAUUGAUGACGCAAAUUCUGAUGUGUACAAUAAAGGAUAUAAAAAUAAAAUAAUGAAAUAUAAUUUUAUUUAUAAUUCAAAGGAUAUUAAUAAUAUUGAAUUUUAUGAACAGAAAAAACAUACAUUUAUAAAUAAAAAUGUAAAUUAUUUAGAUGAAUUAAUAGAAGAUAGUAAACAUAAAUUAGCAACUGAAAAUAUUUUAAUACCUGAAAAUAAUAAAUUGCAAAAUGUAGAACUGAUUGUUAAAAAUGAACAAGUUACAGUAGUGUAUGAAAAAAGUAAUGAUGGUGUAUUAGAAAAAAAAAAAAAAAAAAAUGAACUAAAAGGGGGAGAAGUAGAAGAAGGUAAAGAUGGAGGAGAAGGAGAAGAAUGUAAAGGAGAAGAUGUAGAAGAAGGUAAAGAAGGAGAAGUAGAAGAAUGUAAAGGAGGGAAAGUUGAAGAAGUAGAAGAAUGUAAAGAAGGGAAAGUUGAAGAAGUAGAAGAAUGUAAAGAAGGAGGAGUAGAAUCAUUUGAAUAUACAUUGUGGGAUAAAAAUUGUAUGGAAAAGGAUAAAGCACAUUGUAAGGAAAGUUUUUUUGAAAUUACUGAAUCAUUGAAAGAGUAUAAAAGUUUACAUACCAAUAAUAAUAAUAAUAAUAAUAAUAAUAAUAAUAAUAAUAAUAAUAANNNNNNNNNNAUAAUAAUAAUAAUAAUAAUAAUAAUAAUAAUAAUAAUAAUAAUAAUGAUAAUGGAGUUUGUAAUGUGUUUGAAAUGCGUGAUGUUAAUGAUGACAUGUUUAAAGAACAUAAAGUGGUAAAUAAAAAAGAAAUUAUAAACUUUUUUCAAAACGAUGAUGAAUUUAAAGUUGUUGAAGUAAAAAGUAAAGACGAACAUAACAAUUUUGAAAGUGUUAUUAUUGUAGAAGAGUAUGAAAACAAAAAAGAUGAAACACAUAAUAUUAUUAACAGUGAUUACUUUAAAAAUUUUGAAUUAAAAAGUAACGAAAUGGAUGUAUCAUAUGAAAACAUAAAUAAUAGUGAAAACAUCGGAAGUGUUAGUAAUAAUGAUAAUAAUAACACAGGUAAUAAUAAUA